rnacentral:rRNA from 1 species
UAGCAAUACUAGGUUGAGCCAGUGGCGAACGGGUGCGUAACACGUGAGUCAUCUGCCUGAAAGUGGGGGAUAGCUCGCCGAAAGGCGAAUUAAUACCGCAUGUGCCCCGAAGCAAUUCGGGGUAAAGCCGGGGCAACCUGGCGCUUUUAGAUGAGCUCGCGGCCUAUCAGCUUGUUGGUAAGGUAACGGCUUACCAAGGCUUCGACGGGUAGCUGGUCUGAGAGGACGACCAGCCACACUGGAACUGAGACACGGUCCAGACACCUACGGGUGGCAGCAGUCGAGAAUUUUUCUCAAUGGGGGAAACCCUGAAGGAGCGACGCCGCGUGGAGGAUGAAGGCUUUCGGGUUGUAAACUCCUGUCAUUUGGGAACAAUACCUUACGUUAACUGCGUGGAGGUUUGAUAGUACCAGAAGAGGAAGAGACGGCUAACUCUGUGCCAGCAGCCGCGGUAAUACAGAGGUCUCGAGCGUUGUUCGGAUUCAUUGGGCGUAAAGGGCGCGUAGGCUGCGGGGCAAGUCGGGUGUGAAAUCUCAGAGCUCAACUCUGAAACUGCACUCGAUACUGCUUUGCUAGAGGACUGGAGAGGAGAUUGGAAUUCACGGUGUAGCA